AUUCCUCACAAUAACCAGAUAGCCUCUGCUUUCUUUUUCCUUUCUUCGGAAUGAGAGACUCAACCAUAAUAGAAAGAAUGAAGAACUAUUAACCACCUUUCUUCAGUGGGCUGUGAUUUUCAGAGGGGAAUACUAAGAAAUAUUAUUUUUACAGAUGGUUUUUCGUACUGGAACUCAAAGGUAAAGACACUCAAGGACAGACAUUUUUGGCAGAGCUCAGUUUUCUGUGCUUGGACCCUCUGGGCCCAUCCUGGCCAUGGUGGGUGAAGACGCUGAUCUGCCCUGUCACCUGUUCCCGACCAUGAGUGCAGAGACCAUGGAGCUGAGGUGGGUGAGUUCCAGCCUAAGGCAGGUGGUGAACGUGUAUGCAGAUGGAAAGGAAGUGGAAGACAGGCAGAGUGCACCAUAUCGAGGGAGAACUUCGAUUCUACGGGAUGGCAUCACUGCAGGGAAGGCUGCUCUCCGAAUACACAACGUCACAGCCUCUGACAGUGGAAAGUACUUGUGUUAUUUCCAAGAUGGUGACUUCUAUGAAAAAGCCCUGGUGGAGCUGAAGGUUGCAGGUGAGCCUCCAGGUUUUGUUCUGAGAACAUUUCUCUGUAGGAUCUAGAGCAGAUGCAGAGUCCCUCUUGCAAAAGCACUGCAGACACUCCUGGCUGCUCACUAGUAAUUGUCUGCACUGCCUUCCAACUUAGCUUCUCUGCAACCCUUAAGAAAGACACAUUCUUUCUUUAGAAAGAAUUCCUGCUAUACCCUACAUGCUGAAUGAAGUAAACAACUCCCUCCCGCUGACAACCAGAGAUAUAAGGGAAAUGAAGGACGACGGAUAGGAAACAUUAGAAAUCAUCAGUUCAGUGACUGGUACACAGUCAUUUUGGUUUAGUUGUGUAACAGACGGCUUCUGUUGUGUCUCCAAGUGCACACUACCAUGGGUCCUGGGAGGUGGAAUAGUGACUGUAUCUGCUGCCAGUGUUUUCCAAUCAGUGACUCCCAGAAACAUUUUUGUAGUAUAAUGAGGCAUGUUUCUUACUUGUUGCUUUGAGGAAGAACACACAUCAUGAGCUGUGGCGGGGUCUCAGUAAGAAGGUUUUAGAGCAGACUUAUUAUACAAUUUGGGCUUGUGUUAGGGGAUUUGGGGGAGGGUUUAUAGACUUAGCUGUCUGCUCUGGAUGAGAUACUGUCAGGAAGGUGUGGGGAGAUGAAUUCUGAUAGUGGGAGCCUUAAUCAAGCUUAUCUAGGAGGAAGGAGACUAGGGUGAGACUAAAGCUGUAAAUGAUGAAGAGGCAGCAAUUCCUCAUUACUGAUGGGGGAUGUUUGGUUAUUGUUGUGGUUUGUACAAUGUUCAUGUUUUUCUCUGCACUCAUACAGGAUUGGGGUGGUCUUGUAUUUCCCAUGAUCUGUCACAGUGAUAAAGUACUAUUUUUUGUGUUCUGUGAAAUUACUCAUGUUCAACAGGAGGAUACCAAGACCUGGUGUCAGGUUCUAGACACCGAGGAGAGCUUUCUUCUUUCUCAGUGCAAUCCCUUGCCUCAUGGCUUCUGGUUGGGUUUGGUUUAAGGGGAGCUGUAGCAGACAAUGGUAGGAAGAAGAGAAAAGGGAGAGGUCUGGGUGCUUAUUCCCUGGCUUCCUUCCUGCAAGAUACCCUCAGGCUGGCUGCAUUGCCUUGCUGAAGGUCACAAGUCAACUCAAGAAAGUCCUCAAUGCAUCAAUCUUCUCUUUUAUGUCUCCGGAACAGAUCCCUCUCCUUCUCCCUCUGGUAAUUGGGGUGAAUGGGAAUAGCCCCACAUUACUGACCCUGGGAUACUGCACUAGCCCGUUUAGUUUUCUUUUCUUCAUGACCACACUUGUGUAAAUAGCUCCUGAAUGAAAUCUUCCUUGGAUUAUCAAAUGUGAGUCUGCCAUUGAUUCCCAUUGAGACCCUCCUUGAUACAGGAGCUCUCAAGAAUUUAGGCCAAUUUAUCCUUCUACAGCAUUGGGUUCUGAUCUUCACGUUGAAGUGAAGGGUUAUGAGAAUGGAGGGAUCCAUCUGGAGUGCAGGUCCACUGGCUGGUACCCCCAACCCCAAAUAAAGUGGAGUGAUGCCAAGGGAGAGAACAUCCCGGCUGUGGAAGCACCUGUGGUUGCAGACGGAGUGGGCCUGUAUGCAGUAGCAGCAUCUGUGAUCAUGAGAGGCGGCUCUGGUGGGGGUGUAUCCUGCAUCAUCAGAAAUUCCCUCCUAGGCCUGGAAAAGACAGCCAGCAUUUCCAUCGCAGACCCCUUCUUCACGAGCGCCCAGCCCUGGAUCGCGGCCCUGGCAGGAACCCUGCCUAUCUCGUUGCUGCUCCUCGCAGGAGCCAGUUACUUCUUGUGGAGACAACAGAAGGAAAAAAUUGCUCUGUCCAGGGAGACAGAAAGAGAGCGAGAGCUGAAAGAAAUGGGAUAUGCUGCAACAAAGCAGGAAAUAAGCCUAAGAGGUAUCCAACGUGAGCAGAGAAUCUAAGCCCCUGGCUUGCAUGCCCCAGCCUGAAGUUCUCACCCCCAUUCCCACCCUGGCACUGCAUCAAGUUUAAGGUUUAUUUUCCUGAAACCCCGCUUACCCAUAACUGUUCUUUUUUUUUUUUCUUUUUUUGCUUAUUUUCCAGAGAAGCUCCAGGAGGAACUCAGUAAGUUCCCAUUCCCCAGGAGACCCAGGCAUGUCUUCUUAUCCCCACUUUGAGCGCCUUGAUAACCCUUCCCUAUUCAUUCCAUUGCAGAGUGGAGAAAAAUCCGGUACAUGGCUCGCGGAGAGAAGUCUUUGGCCUAUCAUGAAUGGAAAAUGGCCCUCUUCAAGCCUGCAGAUGUGAUUCUGGAUCCAGACACGGCAAACGCCAUCCUCCUUGUUUCUGAGGACCAGAGAAGUGUGCAGCGUGCUGAAGAGCCACGGGAUCUGCCAGACAACCCUGAGAGAUUUGAAUGGCGUUACUGUGUCCUUGGCUGUGAAAACUUCACAUCAGGGAGACAUUACUGGGAGGUGGAAGUGGGGGACAGAAAAGAGUGGCAUAUUGGGGUAUGUAGUAAGAACGUGGAGAGGAAAAAAGGUUGGGUCAAAAUGACACCGGAGAAUGGAUACUGGACUAUGGGCCUGACUGAUGGGAAUAAGUAUCGGGCUCUCACUGAGCCCAGAACCAACCUGAAACUUCCUGAGCCCCCUAGGAAAGUGGGGAUCUUCCUGGACUAUGAGACUGGAGAGAUCUCGUUCUACAAUGCCAUGGAUGGAUCUCAUAUCUACACCUUUCCGCACACCUCUUUCUCUGAGCCUGUAUAUCCUGUUUUCAGAAUUUUGACCUUGGAGCCCACUGCCCUGACCAUUUGCCCAACACCAAAAGAAGUAGAGAGGUCCCCCAAUCCUGACCUAGUGCUUGAUCAUUCCCUGGAGACACCAGUAACCCCGGCCUUAGCUAAUGAAAGUGGGGAGCCUCAGGCUGAAGUAACAUCUCUGCUUCUCCCUGCCAACGCUGGAGCUGAGGGUCUCCCCUUCCACAACAACCAGUCAGAACCAUAAGCCACAGGCAUGCACUGAAGCACUUUACUGAUAUUCAUUCCAUUAUUCCAUAUGACAGUUGUUUUGAGUUUGGUACCACCUUAUUGUCCCCUUAUACAGAUAAGGAAACUGGGGCGCAGAAAGGUCAAUUAGCUUUACAAAGUAGAGAUGACUAGUGAACAACAGAGCUGGGAUCUAAACAGCAAUAACUAACAUUAACAGAGAAUUUAAAAUGUUCUGAGUGCUGUGUUAUAAGCUUUGGUGGAUGUCACUCCUUUAAUCCUCACAACACCCUGUCGGGUAGUCAUAUUUUGCAAGUAUGGAAGCUGAGGCAGGGCAACAUGAAGUAACUUACAUAACUCAUACAGUAAUUUGUGCAGUUGGGAGAUGUUCAGCCUUAGUCCCUGGCUAAUUGCCUGUUCUUUUCCAGCCUGACUUUUUCCCACAGGAAGAGCCCACAUGUAGCCCUGAGGUUUCCUUCCCAGGACAGCUCCAGGGUAGAGAUCAUUGUAAGUGCUUGUGGAGUUGACAUCCCUAUUGACUCCUUCCCAGCUGAUUAUCACAGCCUUAGACCCAGCACUCCUUGGAUUAGCUCUGCAGAGUAUCUUGGUUGAGAGAAUAACCUCAUAGUACCGACAUGACAUGUGACUUGGAAAGAGACUAGAGGCCACACUUGAUAAAUCAUGGGGAAGAGAUGUGUUCCCACCCAACAAAUGUUAUAAGUGAUCGUGCAGCCAGAGCCAGCCUUCCUACAAUCAAGGUUUCCAGGCAGAGCAAAUACCCUAAAGAUUAUCUGUGAUAUAUGAAAUUUGGAUCAAGGAAGCUAAAAGAAUUGCAGGGAUGUUUUUAAUCCCGCUAUGGACUCAGUCUCCUGGAAAUAGGUCUGUCCAUCCCUGUUCAUUGGUGGAUGUUAAACCCAUAUUCCUUUCAACUGAUGCCUGCUAGGGAAAACUGCUCCUUAUUAUCAUCACUAUUAUUGCUCACCACUGUAUCCCCUCUACUUGACAAGUGGUUGUCAAGUUCUAGUUGUUCAAUAAAUGUGUUAACAAUGCUU
rnacentral:sRNA from 1 species